AGAGUUUGAUCCUGGCUCAGGACGAACGCUGGCGGCGUGCUUAACACAUGCAAGUCGAACGAUGAUGCCCAGCUUGCUGGGCGGAUUAGUGGCGAACGGGUGAGUAAUACGUGAGUAACCUGCCCUUGACUCUGGGAUAAGCCUGGGAAACUGGGUCUAAUACUGGAUACUACCGCUCUCCGCAUGGUGGGUGGUGGAAAGGGUUUUACUGGUUUUGGAUGGGCUCACGGCCUAUCAGCUUGUUGGUGGGGUAAUGGCUCACCAAGGCGACGACGGGUAGCCGGCCUGAGAGGGUGACCGGCCACACUGGGACUGAGACACGGCCCAGACUCCUACGGGAGGCAGCAGUGGGGAAUAUUGCACAAUGGGCGGAAGCCUGAUGCAGCGACGCCGCGUGAGGGAUGACGGCCUUCGGGUUGUAAACCUCUUUCAGUAGGGAAGAAGCGCAAGUGACGGUACCUGCAGAAGAAGCGCCGGCUAACUACGUGCCAGCAGCCGCGGUAAUACGUAGGGCGCAAGCGUUGUCCGGAAUUAUUGGGCGUAAAGAGCUCGUAGGCGGUUUGUCGCGUCUGCUGUGAAAGCCCGGGGCUCAACCCCCGGGUCUGCAGUGGGUACGGGCAGACUAGAGUGCAGUAGGGGAGACUGGAAUUCCUGGUGUAGCGGUGAAAUGCGCAGAUAUCAGGAGGAACACCGAUGGCGAAGGCAGGUCUCUGGGCUGUUACUGACGCUGAGGAGCGAAAGCAUGGGGAGCGAACAGGAUUAGAUACCCUGGUAGUCCAUGCCGUAAACGUUGGGCACUAGGUGUGGGGGACAUUCCACGUUUUCCGCGCCGUAGCUAACGCAUUAAGUGCCCCGCCUGGGGAGUACGGCCGCAAGGCUAAACUCAAGGAAUUGACGGGGCCCGCACAGCGGCGGAGCAUGCG
rnacentral:rRNA from 1 species